rnacentral:rRNA from 1 species
UCGAAGGGCGCAUGGGGGAUGCCUUGGCUCUCGGAGGCGAAGAAGGACGUGACAAGCUGCGAUAAGCCACGGCGAGGGGCAAAUACCCU